rnacentral:rRNA from 1 species
UAAGGAAUAUUGGUCAAUGGACGCAAGUCUGAACCAGCCAUGCCGCGUGAGUGACGAAGGCCUUAGGGUUGCAAAGCUCUUUUGGCGGGGACGAUAAUGACGGUACCCGCAGAAUAAGCCCCGGCUAACUUCGUGCCAGCAGCCGCGGUAAUACGAAGGGGGCUAGCGUUGUUCGGAAUCACUGGGCGUAAAGCGCACGUAGGCGGACUUUCAAGUCAGGGGUGAAAUCCCGGGGCUCAACCUCGGAACUGCCUUUGAUACUGUUGGUCUCGAGUCCGGAAGAGGUGGGUGGAAUUCCUAGUGUAGAGGUGAAAUUCGUAGAUAUUAGGAAGAACACCGGUGGCGAAGGCGGCCCACUGGUCCGGUACUGACGCUGAGGUGCGAAAGCGUGGGGAGCAAACA